CCUACGGGUGGCAGCAGUGAGGAAUAUUGGUCAAUGGACGAGAGUCUGAACCAGCCAAGUAGCGUGAAGGAUGACUGCCCUAUGGGUUGUAAACUUCUUUUAUAUGGGAAUAAAACGUUCCACGUGUGGGAUUUUGUAUGUACCAUAUGAAUAAGGAUCGGCUAACUCCGUGCCAGCAGCCGCGGUAAUACGGAGGAUCCGAGCGUUAUCCGGAUUUAUUGGGUUUAAGGGGAGCGUAGGUGGAUUGUUAAGUCAGUUGUGAAAGUUUGCGGCUCAACCGUAAAAUUGCAGUUGAAACUGGCAGUCUUGAGUACAGUAGCGGUGGGAGGAAUUCGUGGUGUAGCGGUGAAAUGCUUAGAUAUCACGAAGAACUCCGAUUGCGAAGGCAGUUCACUGAACUGCAACUGACACUGAGGCUCGAAAGUGUGGGUAUCAAACAGGAUUAGAUACCCCUGUAGUC
rnacentral:rRNA from 1 species